AUGUUCAUUGGCUCCACCAUCGCGCCCAGUUGGAAGCUCAUCUGGCGUACGUGGGCCCCGCUGCGGAUCCAUGUCUUUGCAUGGCUCGCCAUCCAAGAUCGCUGCUGGUCCGCCGCCCGCCUCGCGCGGCACGGCUUGCCGCAUGACGACCGCUGCAUCUUCUGCGACCAAGUGCUGGAAACCCUCGAUCACCUUCUUGUGCAAUGCCCAUUCUCCUGGAUCAUCUGGCAUGACAUCUUCGCCUGGUGCCAGCUGCCUAUCCCCCCUCCAGGCACCGAUGACUGCUUCCUUGCAUGGUGGGCUGAUUCUACCAGGCGGGUUCCUGCGGCCUUGCGGAAAGGUCUCGCCUCCCUCGCCCUCCUCACUGCAUGGUCCAUCUGGCGCCACCGGAAUGCAUGCAUCUUCGACCACGUGCAGCCCUCCACUACGCUACUUCUACAGAUCAUCAAGGAUGACGCUCGGGCAUGGGCUUCCGCCGGGGCCAAGGACAUUGCAAACUUUAUGCCUUCUUGA
rnacentral:rRNA from 1 species